AUUCUACCCAUAUGACCAGGUAAGUGAAAGAAAAGUUUAAUCUGAAAUAAUCUGAUGUUUCCUGGUUGACUGUAUUUUAACAGACAGCUGGCCCCAAGAUUCUAAAGUGACUGUGGAGUUUGCAGUUUGAACAAGUGCUUCAGCCUGGCAACUUAGCAAGACUCUUUCUCAAAAUUUAAAAAGAGCUGGGGAUGUAGCCCAGUAGUAGACUCCUUGCCUAGCUUGUAUGAGGCUGUUUUCAAUCCCCAGUACACAAGAAAAGGGACUGGCUACAGUGCUUGGGUAGCAUGUGUGAGGCAUUGGGUUCAAUUCUUGGCACCGCAAAUAAAUAAAUAAAUAAAUAUUUAUAUAAAUAUAGUUGUUGAGUGGGAUGACAACAAGUAUGUGAAAGUUCGUGAAACCAGUACUAUCUUUUUGUAUAUAAAUUAGAAAUUUUCUGUAUUGAAAGGUUGAACUAUCAAGAGUGUGAUUUGUGUAACUUGCAAAUGGGUGUGGGAGGUGUCAGGUGUUUUCCUGGUCUGCUCUGUUCCCCAGAGCCCUCUUCAUAGUUAUAGGCAUUUCUAUUGGAAGAGCCUCAAGAAAUCCUGUUUGAGGGUUGGCGUUGUGGUUCAGUGGUAGAAUGCUCACCUAACACACGUGAGUCACUGGGUUUGAUCCUCAGCACCACAUAAAAAUGAAAUAAAGAUACUGUGUGUCCAUCUACAACUAAAAAAUAUUAAAAAUAAAAGAAAACUUGUUUGAUAAAUGCCAGCUUUUAUUUCUUGCCAUCUGACAUUUAUUAAGUUGAUGUUUUUCAGAUACCAGCCCUAGAACCCCAUCCCCAGUCAAGCUCUCAUUAUUCCUCCGGCUUCCUCAGACAGAAAUACCAUCCCUUUGGCCAGCAUCAGAAGUCCUACCUUGCCGGGCACAGUGGUGCACACCUGUAGUCACAGCGGCUCUGGAGGCUGAGGCAGGAGGAUCGCAAGUUCAAAGCCAGCCUCUGCAAAAGCAAGGAACUAAGCAACUCAGUGAGACCCUGUCUCUAAAUAAAAUACAAAAUAGAGCUGGGGAUGUGACUCAGUGGCUGAGUGCCCCUGAAUUCAAUCCCCAGUACCACUCACCCCCCAGAAAAAGGAGUCCUACCUUCCCUCCUCUAAAACCCUAGACUGCUUGAAAAAAACCUCAGUUUUCUUACCUCUAAAAACAGAAUAAUAAAGAUAGUCCACUAAAUGAAUUGAGACAUGGGAAACACAUAGAAAAACAUCUGGAGGUUGGCAUGGAGUUGAUAAAUGUUAGCAUUUCUUGUGUGUGCCAUAUCAUUAUUGGGGACACAGCAACAGAUAUGUCAUAUUUUUUCUCGGGCAUCAUAGAGUUAACACACAGUAAACUAGAAAUUGCUUUAUGAUGUAAUAUUAGGGAGUGGCAAGUCCUAAGAAAAAUAAGCAGUUUAAGUUAGAGUGAGGACACAUGCCAAUUUGUCCAAGGAAGGCAACUGGGAACCAGAGACUUGAACUUAGUAGGCAAGGAGGCUGUCUGCUCUGCAUCUCUACUACAUAGGCCACAUACGUAAGUCAAUCCAUCUUGGCAGAACUUCCUGUGACCCUUGGAACACAGCAUGGAAAGCUCAAGAUGGGAUGCUAGCUAUCAGGCCAUUUCUCACUUGCCUCCCUGUCUCCCAGAGUGUACUGGUCUUACCAGCUUCUAGGGGAAAUAUUUUCUACCUUUCUCUUGACUCAGGGAUAUAGAACUAUAGCUUCACCUUGAAACUGGCUCUGUAGCCAGCUUGUGUCAUGUCAGCCAUGGAACAGUUUCCCUGCUGCCUGAUACAAGGGAUUAGAACUGAACUCUGACAAUUUUGUUUUUAUACUGAUGAUAGAACCCAGGGGCAAUUUACCACAGAGCUACAUCCCCAGUUUUUCAAAAUUGACAGGUUCUCUAAGUUGGUGAACCUGAACUAGAACUUGUUAUCCUCCUUCCUCAACCUCUGGGAUCAUAGGCAUGCACCGCCAAUGCUCUGAUUAUUCUUGCUUUCAUUUUCUUUGUAAGUAACUUUGGAAUCUAACAAAGACUAUUUUACCAGCCAAAUGUGUCAGCCUUGCCUUGACAUCUUAGAAUUACAGGCAGAAGGAAAAGCAGGCAAUACAAAGUCCCUGAGGUGGAAGCUUGCUUGGUGUGUGAAUAGCAAGUAUGUCAUUAGGGCAGGUACAGAGUGAUCAAGGUGGCCAGUGGUAGGACAUGAGGUUAGAGAAGUCUAGGGCCUUGUGGAGAGAACUAUCUUUUCUCUGAGAGAUGUGUCUCUCUUAGGGCAGGGUGCCAUUCAGAGGAGGGCCAUGGGUGACUUGGAUUAAAACAAUCUCUGGCUGCUAUGAGGUUAGGUAGGGGACAGGAAGAGCAGCAGCAGUGAGUCAGCCACUGCAUCAGUCUAGGACCUCAAUGGCAAUGGUAGUGGCAGCAGUGCAGGUAGAAAGGAGAAGUCAGAUUCUGGUAUAUUUUAAAGAAGGAAACAACAGGAUUUGUUGAUGGAUCCAAUGAAGAGGGUGGGAUGAGUAGUACUAAUUAGGACUCCAGACUAGAAGAGCUUACCCAGAGCCACUUGGCAGUUGGUGUUAAUAGGUUAAGAGGAAGGAUUCUGGAGCCUGGUGGUAUGGGUGUGAAUCCAAUUUACUGGCAGUGUAACUUCAGGCAGGUCACUCUCUAUUUGUCUUCAUUUCACCAUCUGUGACAUGGGAUGAUCAAAGUACUAAUCUCAUAGGACUGAGGACUAAAUGUUUUCUAGUUAUGUAAAGUACUUGUUAUUAGUAACAUUACUAUAUGAUGAAGUAAGUGCCUCAAAAAGAGCAUUCCAGAUAUCAGAAACAGUUUUCAAAGGAUAUGACAGCCAAUGUGGCUGAAGUCUAGACUGAUUGAGUGCUAAAGAAAUGCAGGUAGAGAGAAGGCCUAAGAUUGGCUUCUCAUAGAAGCUGGAAGCAAUUUUGGACUUCAGAGGUGAGAAGAGAGAGAGGGAAAGGAAAGUGAUGGGGGUCUUUUUUUUGAGUAUAUUUUUAGCUGUAGAUGGACACAAUAUCUUUUUUAUUUUUUAUGUGGUGCUGAGGAUCGAACCCAGUGCCUCAUAUGCUCCAGGCAAACACUCUACCACUGUGCCACAACCCCAGCCCUGAUGUGGGUCUUAAAUCUGGGAUGUACAGAGGAGAGAGAGCACUAUUAUCAACACUGUUGGCUAGGACCCAGGAGUGGGGUGGGGGUGGGGUGAUGGUUUCUGGUGUCCAGGAUAAGGAACUUAAGUUCAACUUCUGCCUGAGUCCAAAUACUGGUGUAAUAUUUUCUGUCAGUGGCAAUAGGCAGUAAAGCCCUCAGAUGACAGUGUAGUAAGUGUUCAAUGAAUGCAGUCUGUCACCACAAUCAUGGAAAAUCCAGGAUGGCUUAACACUUAAAAAAACGCUUAAUGGGCUGGGGUUGUAGUUCAGUGGUAGAAUGCUUAUCUAGCAUGUGUGAGGCACUGUGUUGGAUCCUCAGCACCAUAUAAAAAAAUAAUAAAAAAUAAAUAAAUAAAGGUCUUGUGUCCAUCUACAACUAAAACAUUUUUUUAAAAGCCCAACUGUUAUAAAGCAUGAGAUGUAUGUCCUCCUGAUUCAGUUUGGGCAUAUCAUAUGUCCCUAGAAAUUUGUCAUUGUCCUCAAGAUUUUUUUUAUUUCAUUAGAGCUUAAAUUUUCAAAAUAGUUUAUAAUUGUCUUCUGUAUUUCAAUAGUGUCUGUCGUGAUAUUUCCUUUUUCAUCACCUUUUGUUAGGGUGACUAAGGGUUUAUCAAUUUGAUUUUUUCAAAGAACAAGCUUUUGGUCACUUUUUUUUUAAAUGUUUCAAUUUAAUUGAUUUCAGCCCUGAUUUUAAUUAUUUCCUGUCUUUUUGGUGUCGAUUUUAUUCUUUUUUCUUCUUCUAGGGCUUUGAGAUGUAAUGUUAGGUCAUUUAUUUGCUGAUUUUUAAAUUUUUUUAUUCUUUUAAUGAAUGAGCUCAAUGCAUGAACUUUCCUCUUAGCACUGCCUUUUUAGUGUCCUAGAGAUUUUGAUAUAUUGUAUGUGUGUUCUCAUUUAUCUCUAAGAAAAUAUUUUUAUCUCCUUGCUGAUGUCUUCUGCUAUCCUUCCCCAUCUGAUAGUAUAUUAUUUAGUAUCCAGGUGCUAGAGUACCUUCUAUUUUUUAUUUUAUCAUUGAUUUCUAAUUUCAUUCUAUUAUGGUCUGAUAGAAUGCAGAGUAGUAUCUCUUUUUUUUUAAUUCACUAAGAUUUGCUUUGUGGCAUAACAGGGUUUAUUUUACAAAAGGAUUCAUGUGCUGCUGAGAAAAGCGUAUUCACUCAUUGAAGGAUGAAAUAUUUUAUAUGUCUGAUAAGUCUAAAUUAUUGAUUAUAUUAUUGAGUUCUAUAGAUUUUUGUUUAAUUUUUGUUUGGAAGAUCUAUCCAGUGGUGAGAGAGGUGUGUUAAAGUCACCCAGUAUUAGUGUGUUGUGUUCUUUUUGAUUCUUGAAAUUGUACGUAGAUGCUCCAUUGUUGGGGGCACAGUGACACAGCCACAUUAAUGUUUAUAGCAGCUCAAUUCACAAUGGCUGAACUGUGGAACCAACCUAGAUGCCCUUCAAUGGAAGAAUGGAUAAAGAAACUGUGGUAUGGGCUGGGGUUGUGGCUCAGCAAUAGAGUGUUUCCCUAGCUCGUGCAAGGUGCUGGGUUCAAUCCUCAGCACCACAUAAAAAUAAAUAAAAGUAUUGUGUCCAAGUGCAACUAAAAAUAUUUUUUAAAAACUGGUAUAUAUACACAGUGGAAUAUUACUCAGCAUUAAAAGAGAAUAAAAUCAUGGCAUGAUAAAUGGAUGGAGUUGGAGAAUAUCAUGCUAAGCAAAAUAAAC
rnacentral:lncRNA from 1 species